rnacentral:rRNA from 1 species
UCGCCUCCAUGAAGUUGGAUUCGCUAGUAAUCGCGCAUCAGCCAUGGCGCGGUGAAUACGUUCCCGGGCCUUGUACACACCGCCCGUCAAGCCAUGGGAGUUGGGGGUGCCUGAAGUUCGUGACCGCAAGGAGCGACCUAGGGCAAAACUAAUGACUGGGGCUAAGUCGUAACAAGGUACC